rnacentral:SRP_RNA from 1 species
CGUCGGUCCCCUCGCGACGAUAGCUUGUGAACUCCGCCAGGCCCGGAAGGGAGCAACGGCAGCAAGCGACUCGGGUGCCGGGGUGUGGCUGGCGAGG